rnacentral:lncRNA from 1 species
CACUUCAUUAGAGAUUGAGUUUGAAACCUUCAUUUACAUCUAGUAAUUUAGUACUUGUUCUACUGGUUCUUGCUGGUUCUUCGAUUGCUUGCAGGACGAGUGCCCUAGUGGCCGGGUGUUGCGCUCCACAAGAUCGUGACAGCCAUUGGAGGCGGUGUAUCGGUUGCUAAGGCGCGGCCUUAGAAGGCUGUAGUCGGGCCGUGAACGUCAUCUCCAUUCACUAAUCGAGUUAUCCAGCGCCUCUCAUCGAAAGAUCAGGCGAAAACCCUAGUGGGUUCACAUCAGUUGGUAAUCAGAGCAAGGUUUAUCGGUGAGAGAUUUCCAAUUCUUCGUGAUUGUUUUUCCUAUAGUCCAAAAAAAAGCCAAAAAAUAUAGCAGAUUUGUUUUCCAUAAUCCUAUAAAUCCUUUGUGCCGUGGCUAGUACUACUUAGUUAGGGCUGGUUGAAUGAGUGUUUGCUUCGGUCGUGUCUAGUGCUGGUUUUAGUUUAGUCCUUUAGAGUUUUGAGUUCUUGUCACCAUCUAGUCACAACUGCGUCCAAUCUAUUGUGGGUUGGAAUUUGAGUAGAUCUUGAUAAUAGGUGCAGCCACUUGUUGGUCUAUUCUGCGUUUCCAUCAACGUGAUCCAAAAGGAAAGAUAGCACUUCAUACUUGUGCUAGAUAUAUUGAAUUUUGAGGUUCAGCCUUACUCUAGUGAGAGGGUGAGAGUGGUGAAGUGAUAUUUUGUACUAUUUUGUUUAUAUAAUCAGGUUUUGAGGUUCCCCAAAAAAAAGAAAAGAGAAAGAAAAAAAAUAAAGAAAAAAAAGAAAGAAAGAAAGAAAAAAAAUCAAAAAAAAGGAUUGUUGUUCCUUUUGUUUCCAGUAGGGCUGCUCAUUUUGUUUCUAGUGGUGUGCUGUGUUUUCCCUUUGUGUCCAGGCUCGCGUCUCUAGCACGGUCUAGGCUAGGACCAGCAUAGUACCACCGUUGAGCGUUUAUUCAACUUGCUUUUUAUAACUAACGUGGUGCUAGUUCGAUCCUUGUUUCAGCCCACCUAUAGCUCCACAUAUUCUACAGCUUGAUAGGUUUUGUUGCUGCGGCACCGAUACACUUCGUCCAUUGCUGUGGAUUUGUUGGUAGCCAAUCCCUCCUGUUGAGCAAGGUAAGAAUUGGUAAGAACUUGUUAGACAGGUUGAUAGAGAGCGUCUUACAGUAGCCACAUCCUAAUAGCUGUAGGGUUUUUAUUUCUUCACCUAUUUUUCUUGUUUCCACUGUGUGUUUUUUUAAACCAUGUCAGAGACAGAGGAUACCAACAAAAUUCCACAGUCACCUCGCACUAAGGGCAUCAUACAACAUUUUGAAAGGCAAGUGAAGCUACACACAGAGGGACUUGAUGACGACUUGAAGGUGACGAAUGACAAGCUUGGGCAGUUGGAGGACACGCAGAUUGCCACAAACAACAAGAUUACAAAGAUGGAGGCAUCUAUUACUAGUAUGGAUAAAAGUCUUGCUGCUCUUCUCAAACGCUUUGAUGACUUCCACACAAUGGACAAAGAGAAGCAUAAGGAAGAAAACAAGGACGAAGACCGAGUGGAUGGCAAUUAUGAUGAUGAUUACACUGCUGAUACAGAACGAGAUGAUCAAGACACUCAUCAUCGACGUCGCCUACAUCACACCCGUAGAGGUAUGGGUGGCCACCACCGACGCGAGGUACACAAUAAUAAUGAUGCUUUCAGUAAGAUUAAAUUUAAAAUACCUCCUUUUGAUGGUAAAUAUGACCCUGAUGCAUACAUUACUUGGGAGAUUGCUAUUGACCAAAAGUUUACAUGUCAUGAAUUCCCUGAGGAUACACGUGUUAGGGCUGCUACUAGUGAGUUCACCGAUUUUGCUUCCAUUUGGUGGAUAGAACAUGGCAAGAAAAAUCCUAAUAACAUACCUAGAACUUGGAAUGCGUUGAAACAAGUCAUGAGGGCUAGAUUUGUUCCUUCUUACUAUGCACGUGUCAUGAUUAAUAAGUUGCAGCAAUUGAGACAAGGUGCUAAAAGUGUAGAAGAAUAUUAUCAGGAAUUACAAAUGGGUAUGCUGCGAUGUAAUUUAGAGGAGGAAGAAGAACCUGCUAUGGCUAGAUUUUUGGGCGGGUUAAAUCGUGAAAUCCAGGACAUUCUUUCUUAUAAAGAUUAUAGUAACGGAACCCGUUUGUUUCAUCUUGCUUGUAAAGCUGAAAGGGAAGUGCAGGGACGACGUUCUAGUGCCAAAUCUAACAAUUCUGCAGGGAAAUCCUGGCAACAACGCACAUCUGCUACAUUGUCGGGUGGUGUACCUCUUCCAUCAAGCCGAUCAAUAGCUCCACCACCUUCCUAUAGCGACAAACCACAUGAUUCUUCCACAAAUACAACAACUAAAUCAGCCCAGAGACCAAUCGCUAGUGCCACCUCGGUUAAUUCCACGGGAAGAACAAGAGAUGUUCAGUGUCAUCGAUGCAAGGGUUAUGGGCACGUACAGCGAGAUUGUCCAAACAAGCGUGUUUUGGUGGUUAACGCUGAUGGUGGAUAUUCCUCUGCUAGUGAUUUUGAUGACGAUACACGUGCUUUGCUUGCUGCUGAUGAUACAGGUAGGGAUGAAGCAAUAGAAGAGCAGAUAGGUGCAGAGAAUGUAGAGCAUUAUGAGAGUCUUAUUGUGCAGCGUGUGCUUAGUGCUCAAGCGGAGAAGGUAGAGCAGAAUCAGCGGCAUACAUUGUUCCAAACAAAGUAUGUUAUUAAAGAGCGUUCUUGUCGUUUGAUUAUUGAUGGAGGUAGCCGCAACAACUUGGCUAGCAGCAACAUGGUGGAGAAGCUUGCACUUACCACCAAACCACAUCCACAUCCAUAUCACAUUCGGUGGCUGAACAACUGAUGCGAACCCGCUAGGGUUUUUGGCCUGAUCUUUUGAUGAGAGACGAGGAUAACUCGAUUGGUGGAUGGAGAUGACGUUCACGGCCCGACUACAGCCCUCAAGACCGCGCCUUAGCAACCGAUACACCACGUCCAACAGCCGUCACGAUCUUGUGGAGCGCGACAACCAGCCCCUAGGGCUCCCGUCCUGCAAGCAAUCGAAGAACUAGCAAGAACGAGGAAACAAGCACUGAAUUUGCAAGAUGAAUUGAAGGUUUCAAACUGAAUCUGAAUCAACAAUGGGGUUCCGAAGACAAGAAGACGGGCGGCUGAUCCUGCACGCGCGCCUACAAGCAAGUAGCGAAGGCUAAACUUGAUCUAAACAAAACCCAGUUGUUCAUGGCGGCUCUAGAUGUAAAUAAAUAGAGGGGAGGACGACCAAAGGGGUGCUAGAGUCGUCCUCCGACCCUAGGACGCAUCCCUAAUGGACUCAACUUGAUACAUGGGCCAUUGGUCCAAAAUAGGGUGACGCAGCACCAAAACAGAAAAAGGUGUCGGCAUGAAAACAAGGACUGCGCCCGACUCAUAAGCUGCAUAGAUAUGUAGUUGGACCCAUUGGAAAGUAGACUUCAUGAGCUUUCCAACAAGUAUAGAAACGUCCCAGUUAGAGUCUAUAUGACGCCGUGGUGAUCCAUACAAGUUAGAGUUAUUUUCCAGUCCGAAUCCAACUCCCAAAACGUGUUGGGUUUGGACUCUUUGUUUCCUUGCUUUAGAUGAGACGUGGUAACUUGAUAGAGGAUGUUGUGGAGGCUUGGACCUGAUCUCCAAUCACCUUUGUUAAGUUAUCACUCUUCCCAUAUGCAAUCAGCCCUUGAAGUUGGUGUUGCCUCAAAUUCUGAAUGCAGUUGAACCUUCCCUUGCUGAUCUUGUCCAUUAUUCCUGAGCAACACAAAAGUGCACGUGUCUCCAUUGUCUAAAUAUGAUUGACAAGAGUUUAAAACUGAACUUACUUGAAGGUUGAGUUGACGGGCACGAGCACGAGUAAGAGGACCAGCUAUAGGUUGUGUCGGAGAGGAUGUAUGACCAGCUAUAGGUUGUGUCGGAGAUGUAGGACCAGCUAUAGGUUGUGUCGGAGAGGAUGUAGGAGAGGAUGUAUCGCUGGUGUUGAUGUCCUCAUCAUCCUCCCUUUCUUGCAUUUGAGUCGUCCUCGACUCAAGCUCAUCUUCCUCACCCAAAUAAGGCUUCAAAUCUGCAAUGUUAAAUGUGGGACUAACCCCAAAAUCUGCAGGAAGAUCAAGCUUAUAUGCAUUCUCAUUAAUUCGUUGCAGCACUUUAAAAGGACCAUCAGCUCUAGGCAUCAAUUUGGAUUUUCUCAGUUCUGGAAAUCUAUCUUUUCGCAAAUGCAACCAAACCAAAUCCCCAUCCAUAUCACAUUCGGUGGCUGAACAACAGUGGUAAGGCCAAGGUAACAAAACUGGUGCGAAUUAAUUUUACUAUUGGUUCAUACCAUGAUGUUGUUGAAUGUGAUGUUGUACCUAUGGAAGCUUGUAAUAUUCUGCUAGGUAGACCAUGGCAAUUUGAUAAGGAAUGUAUACAUCAUGGUAGAUCAAAUCAGUAUUCGUUUAUGCACCAUGAUAUGAAAAUUGUUUUGCUACCUAUGUCUCCCGAAGCUAUCGUACGUGAUGAAGUUGCUAAAAUUACCAAGGCUAAAAUUAAGAACAAUGCAGAUACCAAUGGAAAUAACAAAGAUGAGAUAAGAUUAAAUGGACAUUGCAUGCUUGCUACUAAAUUUGAUGUUAAUGAACUAAUUGUUUCCACAUCUACUGCUUAUGCUUUGGUAUGUAAGGGUGUUUUGAUUUCAAUUGAAGAUAUGCUGCAUUCUUUGCCCCCUGCUAUUCAUAACAUUUUGCAGGAGUAUGCUGAUGUUUUUCCAAGUGAGAUACCGGCAGGGCUGCCACCUAUACGUGGGAUUGAGCACCAAAUUGAUCUUAUUCCUGGUGCAUCUUUGCCAAACCGCGCGCCAUACAGGACAAACUAGAGGAAACAAAAGAGAUCCAGUGGCAAGUGCAAGAACUCCUCGACAAAGGUUAUGGAAUUGAGGUUGAUCAAGCCAAGGUAGAAGCUAUACAGGGAUGACCUGUACCAAAGACAAUCACCCAGGUGCGGAGUUUCUUAGGACUUGCUGGGUUUUAUCGCCGUUUUGUGAAGGAUUUCAGCACCAUUGCUGCACCAUUGAAUGACCUUACAAAGAAGGGAGUGCCUUUUGUUUGGAGCAAAGUACAAGAGAAUUCCUUCAACAUGUUGAAAGAUAAGUUAACACAUGCACCUCUCCUACAGCUUCCUGAUUUUAAUAAGACUUUUGAGCUUGAGUGUGAUGCUCGUGGGAUUGGUUUGGGAGGUGUUUUGCUACAAGAGGGUAAACCUGUUGCAUAUUUUAGUGAGAAAUUGAGUGGGCCUGUUCUGAACUAUUCAACUUAUGAUAAAGAAUUGUAUGCUCUUGUCCGAACUUUAGAAACAUGGCAACAUUAUUUGUGGCCCAAAGAGUUUGUUAUUCAUUCUGAUCAUGAAUCUUUAAAACAUAUUCGUAGUCAAGGAAAACUAAAUCGCAGACAUGCUAAGUGGGUAGAAUUUAUUGAAUCCUUUCCUUAUGUUAUUAAGCACAAGAAAGGGAAGGAGAAUAUCAUUGCUGAUGCUUUGUCAAGGAGAUAUACUUUGCUAAAUCAACUUGAUUACAAGAUUUUUGGAUUAGAAACGAUCAAAGACUAAUAUGUUCAUGAUGCUGAUUUUAAUGAAGUGUUGCUGCGUUGUAAAGAUGGAAAAGGAUGGAACAAAUUCAUCGUUAGUGAUGGGUUUGUGUUUAGAGCUAACAAGCUAUGCAUAUCCAGCUAGCUCUGUUCGUUUGUUGUUGUUACAGGAAGCUCAUGGAGAAGGUUUGAUGGGACAUUUUGGAGCAAAGAAGACGGAGGACAUACUUGCUGAUUUGAAACCAUAUUUGGGUGAGGAACAUGAGCUUGAGUCGAGGACGAUCCAAGAAAGGGAGGAUGAUGAGGACAUCAACACCAUCGAUAUAUCCGCACCUACACCAGUUGGAAUAAUGGACAAGAUCAGCAAGGGAAGGUUCAAGUGCAUUCGGAAUUUGAGGCAACACCAACUUCAAGGGCUGAUUGCAUAUGGGAAGAGUGAUAACUUAACAAAGGUGAUUGGAGAUCAGGUCCAAGCCUCCACAACAUCCUCUAUCAAGUUACCACGUCGCUUCUAAAGCAAGGAAACAAAGAGUCCAAACCCAACAUGUUUUGGGAGUUAGAUUCGGACUGGAAAAUAAGUCUAACUUGUAUGGAUCACCACGGCGUCAUAUGGACUCCAACUGGGACGUUCCUAUACUUGUUGGAAAGCUCAUGAAGUCUACUUUCCAAUGGGUCCAACCAUAGAUCUAUGCAGCUUAUGAGUCGGGCGCAGUCCUUGUUUUUGUGCCGACACCUUUUUCUAUUUUGGUGCUGCGUCACCCUAUUUUGGACCAAUGGCCCAUGUAUCAAGUUGAGUCCAUUAGGGACGCGUCCUAGGGUUGGAGGAUGACUCUAGCACCCCUUUGGUCGUCCUCCCCUCUAUUUAUUUACAUCUAGAGCCGCCAUGAACAACUGGGUUUUGAUUAGAUAAAGUUUAGCCUUCGCUACUUGCUUGUAAACGCGCGUGCUGAUCCAGCCGCCCGUCUUCUUGUUUUCGAAACCCCACUUCAUUAGAGAUUGAGUUUGUAACCUUCAUUUACAUCUAGUAAUUUAGUACUUGUUCUACUUGUUCUUGCUGGUUCUUCGAUUGCUUGCAGGACGAGUGCCCUAGUGGCCUGGUGUUGCGCUCCACAAGAUCGUGACAGCCAUUGGAGGCGGUGUAUCGGUUGCUAAGGCGCGGCCUUAGAAGGCUGUAGUCGGGCCGUGAACGUCAUCUCCAUUCACUAAUCGAGUUAUCCAGCGCCUCUCAUCGAAAGAUCAGGCGAAAACCCUAGUGGGUUCACAUCAGAGACAGUGUUAGUUUCGGUGCAAGAUAGUGGCAAGGUUUGCACAUAAUGCAGCAUAGGCUAAGAAACCAUUUUGGACGCACCCGAUGGUACUCCUAGUUAAAAGGCUCAAGUGAAAGCUCGGUUUGGUUUUUUUGGAUAUAGUGCUAAUCUUGAUGCAAGAUAGAUGCACAGUCUGCAUGGAACAUACCAUAUUUUUGGAAAUUAAUAUGGACACACCCGAUAGAACUCCUUGGUGAUGUGUGUCUUAUGGAAUCUCGCUUUGGUGUGCUUAGAGACAGUAUUAGUUUCGGUGCAAGAAAUAUGCACGGUUUGCGCCUAAUCCACCAAAGUCUAAGAAACCAUUUUGGAAGCACCUGUUAGUACUCCUAGGUGAAGAGGCUCAAGUGGAGGCUCGGUUUGGUCUGUUUAGAGAUAGUGCUAAUCUUGAUGCAAGAUAGGUGCACGAUUUGCAAGGAACAUACCAUAUGCUCAAAAGUCAAUUUGGACGCACCAGAUGGAACUCCUAGAUGACAUGUGUCAUAUGGAAUCUCGCUUCGGUCUGUUUGCAGACAGUGUUAGUUUUGGUGCAAGAUAGGUGCAUAGUGUGUGCCUAAUGCACCAUAGUAUAAGAAACCAUUUUUGACGCGCCUGUUUGUACUCCUAGAUGAAGAGGCUCAAGUGGAAGCUCGGUUUGGUCUGUUUGGAGAUAGUGCUAAUCUUGAUGCAAGAUAGGUGCACAGUUUGCAUGGAACAUACCAUAUGCUUGGAAAUCAAUUUUGAUGCACCCAAUGGAACUCCUUGAUGACGUGUGUCGUAUGGAAUCUCGCUUUGGUCCGUUUGUAGACAUUGUAAGUUUUAGGGCAAGAUAGGUGCACAGGUUGCGCCUAAUGCACCAUAGUCUAAGAAACCAUUUUGGACGCACUAUUUGGUACUCCUGGGUGAAGAGGCUCAGGUGGAAGCUUGGUUUGGUCAGUUUGGACAUAGUGCUAAUCCUUAUGCAAGGUAGGUGCAUGGUUUGCAUGGAACAUACCAUAUGCUUGGAAAUCAAUUUGGAUGCACCCGUUGGAACUCCUUGAUGACGUGUGUCAUAUGGAAUCUCGCUUCGGUCCAUUUGGAGACAUUGUUAGUUUCGGUGCAAAAUAGGUGCACAGUUUGCACCUAAUGCACCGUAGUCUAAAAAACCAUUUUGGACGCACUUGUUGGUACUGCUAGGUGAAGGGGCUCAAGUGGUUGCUCGGUUCGGUCUGUUUGGAGAUAGUGCUAAUCUUGAUGAAAGAUGGGUGCACGGUUUGCAUGGAACAUACCAAAUGCUUGGAAAUCAAUCCGGACGCACACGAUGGAACUCCUAGAUGACGUGUGUCAUACAAAAUCUUGCUUCGGUCUGUUUGGAGACAGUGUUAGUUUCGGUGCAAGAUAGGUGCAAGGUUUGCACAUAACGCAGCAUAGGCUAAGAAACCAUUUUGGACGUAACCGAUGGUACUCCUAGGUAAAAGGCUCAAGUGAAAGCUCGGUUUGGUCUAUUUGGAGAUAGUGCUAAUCUUGAUGCAAGGUAGAUGCACGGUCUGCAUGGAACGUACCAUAUGCUUAGAAAUUAAUUUGGACACACCCGAUAGAACUCCUUGAUGACGUGUGUCAUAUGGAAUCUCGCUUUGGUGCGCUUAGAGAUAGUAUUAGUUUCGGUGCAAGAUAUGUGCACGGUUUGCGCCUAAUGCACCAAAGUCUAAUAAACCAUUCUGGAAGCACCUGUUGGUACUCCUAGGUGAAGAGGCUCAAGUGGAGGCUCGGUUCAGUCUGUUUAGAGAUAGUGCUAGUCUUGAUGGUAGAUAGAUGCACGAUUUGCAUGGAACAUACCAUAUGCUUGGAAAUCAAUUUGGAUGCACCCGAUGGAACUCCUUAAUGACGUGUGUCAUUUGGAAUCUCGCUUCGGUCCAUUUGGAGACAUUGUUAGUUUCGGUGCAAGAUAGGUGCACAGUUUGCACCUAAUGCACCAUAGUCUAAGAAACCAUUUUGGACGCACUUGUCGGUACUCUUAAGUGAAGGGGCUCAAGUGGAUGCUCGGUUCGGUCUGUUUGGAGAUAGUGUUAAUCUUGAUGCAAGAUAGAUGCAUAGUUUGCAUGGAACAUAUGAUAUGCUUAGAAAUCAAUUAGGAGACACCUGAUAUAAAUCCUUGAUGAUUUGUGUCAUAUGGAAUCUUGCUUUGGCUCGUUUAGAGACAAUGUUAGUUUUGGUAGAAGAUAUGUGCACGGUUUACGCCUAAUGCACCAUUGUCUAAGAAACCAUUUUAGACGCACCCGAUGGUACUCGUAGUUGAAAAGGCUCAAGUAGAGGCUCGAUUUGGUCUGUUCGGAUAUAGUGCUAAUCUUGAUGCAAGAUAGUUGCACAGUUUGCAUGCAACGUACCACAUGUUAAGAAAUCAAUUUGGACGCACCCAAUGGAACUCCUAGAUGACGUGUGUCAAAUGGAAUCUCGCUUCGGUCUGUUUGGAGACAAUGUUAGUUUCAGUGCAAGAUAGGUGCAUAGUUUGUGCCUAAUGCACCAUAGUUUAAGAAACCAUUUUUGACACACCUGUUUGUACUCCUAGAUGAAGAGGCUCAAGUGGAAGCUCGGUUCGGUCUGUUUGGAGAUAGUGCUAAUCUUGAUGCAAGAUAGGUGCACGGUUUGCAUGGAACAUACCAUAUGCUUGGAAAUCAAUUUGGAUGCACCUGAUGGAACUCCUUGAUGAUGUGUGUCAUAUGGAAUCUCACUUUGGUCUAUUUAGAUAUAGUGUUAGUUUCGGUAAAAGAUAUGUGCAUGGUUUGCGCCUAAUGCACCAUAGUCUAUGAAACCAUUUUGGAAGCACCUGUUGGUACUUCGGUGAAGAGGCUCAAGUGGAAGCUUGGUUUAAUAUGUUUGGAGAUAGUGCUAAUCUCGAUGCAAGAUAGGUGCAUGAUUUGCAAGGAACAUACCAUAUGCUUAGAAAUCAAUUUGAACGCACCCAAUGGAACUCCUAGAUGACCUAUGUCAUAUGGAAUCUUGCUUCGGUCCGUUUGUAGACAUUGUAAGUUUUAUUGCAAGAUAGGUGCACAGUUUGUGCCUAAUGCACCAUAGUUUAAGAAACCAUUUUGGAUGCACUAUUUGGUACUCUUGGGUGAAGAGGCUCAAGUGGAAGCUUAGUUCAGUCAGAUUGGAGAUAGUGCUAAUCCUUAUGAAAGGUAGGUGCAUGGUUUGCGUGGAACAUACAUAUGCUUGGAAAUCAAUCUGGAUGCACCCGAUGCAACUCCAUGACGACGUGUAUCAUAUGGAAUCUCGCUUUGGUCCAUUUGGAGACAUUAUUAGUUUCGGUGCAAGAUAGGUGCACAGUUUGCACCUAAUGCACCAUAGUCUAAGAAACCAUUUUGGACGCAGUUUUUGGUACUCCUAGGUGAAGGGGCUCAAGUGGAUGCUCGGUUCGGUCCGUUUGGAGAUAGUGCUAAUCUUGAUGCAAGAUAGGUGCACGGUUUGCAUGGAACAUACCAUAUGCUUGGAAAUCAAUUUUGAUGCACCCGAUGGAACUCCUUGAUGAUGUGUCAUAUGGAAUCUCACUUUGGUCUGUUUAGAAAUAGUGUUAGUUUUGGUACAAGAUAUUUGCAUGCUUUGCGCCUAAUGCACCAUAGUCUAAGAAACCAUUUUGGAAGCACCUAUUGCUACUUCGAUGAAGAGGCUCAAGUGGAAGCUCGGUUUGAUCUGUUUGGAGAUAGUGCUAAUCUUGAUGCAAGAUAGGUGCAUGAUUUGCAAGGAUUAUACCAUAUGCUUAGAAAUAGAAUUGGACGCACCCAAUGGAACUCCUAGAUGACCUGUGUCAUAUGGAAUCCUGCUUCGGUUCGUUUGUAGACAUUGUAAGUUUUAGUGCAAGAUAGGUGCACAGUUUGUGCCUAAUGCACCAUAGUCUAAAAAACCAUUUUGGUUGCACUAUUUGGUACUCUUGGGUGAAGAGGCUCAAGUGGAAGCACCCGAUGGAACUCCGUGACAACGUGUGUCAUAUGGAAUCUCGCUUCGGUCCAUUUGGAGACAUUGUUAGUUUCGGUGUAAGAUAGGUACACAGUUUGCACGUAAUGCACCAUAGUCUAAAAAACCAUUUUGGACACACUUGUUGGUACUCCUAGGUGAAGGGGCUCAAGUGGAUGCUCGGUUCGGUCUGUUUGGAGAUAGUGCUAAUCUUGAUGCAAGAUAGGUGCACUGUUUGCAUGGAAUAUACCAUAUGCUUGGAAAUCAAUUUGGAUGCACCGGAUGGAACUCCUUGAUGAUGUGUGUCAUAUGGAAUCUCACUUUGGUCUGUUUAGAAAUAUUGUUAGUUUCGGUGCAAGAUAUGUGCAUGGUUUGCGCCUAAUGCACCAUAGUCUAAGAUACCAUUUUGGAAGCACCUGUUGGUACUUCGGUGAAGAGGCUCAAGUGGAAGCUUGGUUUGAUAUGUUUGGAGAUAGUGCUAAUCUUGAUGCAAGAUAGGUGCAUGAUUUGCAAGGAACAUACCAUAUGCUUAGAAAUCAAUUUGGAGACACCCAAUGGAACUCCUAGAUGACGUGUGUCAUAUGGAAUCUUGCUUCGGUCCGUUUGUAGACAUUUUAAGUUUUAGUGCAAGAUAGGUGCACAGUUUGCGCCUAAUGCACCAUAGUCUAAGAAAUCAUUUUGGAUGCACUAUUUGGUACUCUUGGGUGAAGAGGAUCAAGUGGAAGCUUGGUUCGGUCAGUUUGGAGAUAGUGCUAAUCCUUAUGCAAGGUAGGUGAAUGGUUUACAUGGAACAUACCAUAUGCUUGGAAAUCAAUUUGGACGCACCCGAUGGAACUAAUUGACGACGUGUGUCAUAUGGAAUCUCGCUUUGAUCUAUUUGAAGACAUUGUUAGUUUCGGUGCAAGAUAUGUGCAUAGUUUGCACCUAAUGCACCAUAGCCUAAGAAACCAUUUUGGACGCACUUGUUGGCACUCCUAGGUGAAGGGGCUCAAGUGGAUGCUCGGUUCAGUCUGUUUCGAGAGAGUGUUAAUGCUUGGAAAUCAAUCUGGACGCACAUGAUGGAACUCCUAGAUAACAUGUGUCAUACAAAAUCUUGCUUUGGUCUGCUUCGAGACAGUGUUAGUUUUGGUGCAAGAUAGGUGCAAAGUUUGCACAUAAUGCAGCAUAGGCUAAGAAACCAUUUUGGACGCACCCGAUGGUACUCCUAGGUAAAAGGCUCAAGUAAAAGCUUGCUUUGGUCUAUUUGGAGAUAGUGCUAACCUUGAUGCAAGAUAGAUGCACGGUAUGCAUGGAACGUACCAUAUGCUUAGAAAUUAAUUUGGACACACCCGAUAGAACUCCUUGAUGACGUGUGUCAUAUGGAAUCUCGCUUUGGUGUUCUUAGAGAUAGUAUUAGUUUCGGUGCAAGAUAUGUGCACGGUUUGCGCCUAAUGCACCAAGUCUAAGAUACCAUUUUGGAAGCACAUAUCGGUACUCCUAGGUGAAGAGGCUCAAGUGGAGGCUCGGUUUGGUCUGUUUACAGAUAGUGCUAAUGUUGAUGGAAGAUAGGUGCAUGAUUUGCAUGGAACAUACCAUAUGCUCAGAAAUCAAUUUGGACGCACGAGAUGGAACUCCUAGAUGACAUGUGUCAUAUGGAAUCUCACUUCGGUCCGUUUAGAGAUAGUGUUAUUUUCGGUGCUAGAUAGGUGCACAGAUUGCACCUACCAUAGGAUAAGAAACCAUUUCGGACGCACCCGAUGGUACUCCUAGGUCAAGGGGCUCAAGUGAAAGCUCAAUUUGGUUUGUUUAGAGAUAGUGCUAAUCUAGAUGCAAGAUAGAUGCACGGUUUGCUUGGAACAUACGAUAUGCUUAAAAACCAAUUAGGACGCACCUGAUAUAACUCCUUGAUGAUUUGUGUCAUAUGGAAUCUUGCUUCGGUUUGUUUAGAGACAGUGUUAGUUUUGGUAGAAGAUAUGUGCACGAUUUACGCCUAAUGCACCAUAGGCUAAGAAACCAUUUUAGACGCACCUGAUGGUACUCGUAGUUGAAGAGACUCAUGUGGAGGCUCGAUUUGGUCUGUUCGGAUAUAGUGCUAAUCUUGAUGCAAGAUAGUUGCACAGUUUGAAUGCAAUAUACCAUAUGUUAAGAAAUCAAAUUGGAUGCACCCAAUUCAACUCCUAGAUGACGUGUGUCAUAUGGGACCUCGCUUCGGUCUGUUUGUAGACAAUGUUAGUUUCGUGCAAGAUAGGUGCAUAGUUUGUGCCUAAUGCAACAUAGUCUAAGAAACCAUUUUUGACACUCCUAUUUGUACUCCUAGAUGAAGAGGCUCAAGUGGAAGCUCGGUUCGGUCUGUUUGGAUAUAGUGCUAAUCUUGAUGCAAGAUAGGUGCACGGUUUGCAUGGAACAUACCAUAUGCUUGGAAAUCAAUUUGGAUGCACCCGAUGGAACUCCUUGAUGACGUGUGUCAUAUGGAAUCUCAGUUUGGUCUGUUUAGAAAUAUUGUUAGUUUUGGUGCAAGAUUUGUGCAUGGUUUGCGCCUAAUGCACCAUAGUCUAAGAAACCAUUUUGGAAGCACCUGUUGGUUCUUCGGGGAAGAGGCUCAAGUGGAAGCUCGGAUUGAUAUGUUUAGAGAUAGUGCUAAUCUUGAUGCAAGAUAGGUGCACGAUUUACAAGGAACAUACCAUAUGCUUAGAAAUCAAUUUGGACGCACCCAAUGGAAGUCCUAGAUGACAUGUGUCAUAUGAAAUCUUGCUUCGGUCCGUUUGGACGCACCCAAUGGAAGUCCUAGAAAACUUUGCGCCUAAUGCAACAUAGUCUAAGAAACCAUUUUGGACGCACUAUUUGGUACUCCUGGAUGAGAGGCUCAAGGAGUUUAGAGAUAGUGCUAAUCCUUCUGCAAGGUAGGUGCACGGUUUGCACACAUGAUGGAACUCCUAGAUGACGUGUGUCAUACAAAAUCUUGAUUUGUUAUGCUUGGACAUAGUGUUAGUUUUGGUGCAAGAUAGAUGCACGGUCUGCAUGGAACGUACCAUAUGCUUAGAAAAUAAUUUGGACACACCCGAUAGAACUCCUUGAUGACGUGUGUCAUAUGGAAUCUCACUUUGGUGUGCUUAGAGAUAGUAUUAGUUUUGGUGCAAGAUUUGUGCACGGUUUGCGCCUAAUGCACCAAAGUCUCAGAAACCAUUUUGGAAGCACCUGUUUGUACUCCUAGGUGAAGAGGCUCAAGUGGAGGCUCGGUUCGGUCUGUUUAGAGAUAGUGCUAAUCUUGAUGGAAGAUAGGUGCACGAUUUGCAUGGAACAUACCAUAUGCUCAGAAAUCAAUUUGGACGCACCAGAUGGAACUCCUAGAUGACGUGUAUCCACCUACGGUGCCCCAAAAGUAACAUUGUCUCCACACAGACCGAAGCGAGAUUCCAUAUGACACACGUCAUCUAGGAGUUCCAUUGGGUGCGUCCAAAUUGAUUUCUUAACAUAUGGUAUGUUCCCUGCAAACUGUGCAACUAUCUUGCAUCAAGAGUAACACUAUAUCUGAACAGACCAAAUCGAGCCUCCACUUGAGCCUCUUCAACUACGAGUACCAUCGGAUGCGUCUAGAAUGGUCUUUUAGCCUAUGGUGCAUUAGGCGUAAACCAUGCACAUAUCUUCUACCAAAACUAACACUAUCUCCAAACGAACCGAAGCAAGAUUCCAUAUGACACACAUCAUCAAGGACACUAUCAGGUGCGUCCUCAUUGAUUUCUGACCAUAUCAUAUGUUCCAUGCAAACCGUGCAUCUAUCUUGCAUCCAGAUUAGCAUUAUCUCCAAACAGACCAAACUGAGCUUUCACUUGAGCCCCUUGACCUAGGAGUACCAUCGGGUGUGUCCAAAAUGGUUUCUUAUCCUAUGGUGCAUUAGGUGCAAACCGUGCACCUAUCUUGCACCGAAACUAACACUGUCUCUAAAUGGACCGAAGUGAGAUUCCAUAUGACACAUGUCAUCUAGGAGUUCCAUUUGGUGCAUCCAAAUUGAUUUCUGAGCAUAUGGUAUGUUCCAUGCAAAUCAUGCACCUAUCUUGCAUCAAGAUUAGCACUAUCUCUAUACAGACCGAACCGAGCCUCCACUUGAGCGUGUUCACCUAGGAGUACCAACAGGUGCUUCAAAAAUGGUUUCUUAGACUUUGGUACAUUAGGCGCAAACCAUGCACAUAUCUUGCACCGAAACUAAUACUGUCUCUAAGCACACCAAAGCAAGAUUCCAUUUGACACACGUCAUGAAGGAGUUCUAUCGGGUGUGUCCAAAUUAAUUUCUAAGCAUAUGGUACGUUCCAUGCAGACCAUGCAUCUAUCUUGCAUCAAGAUUAGCACUAUCUCCAAACAGAUCAAACCGAGCUUCCACUUGACCCUCUUCACCGAAGUACCAAAAGGUACUUCCAAAAUGGUUCUUAGACUAUGGUGCAUUAGGCGCAAACCAUGCACCUAUCUUGCACUGAAAAUAACACUGUUUCUAAACUGACCAAAGAUAGAUUCCAUAUGACACACGUCAUCAAGGAGUUCCAUCGGGUGCAUCCAAAUUGAUUUCCAAGCAUAUGGUAUGUUCCAUGCAAACCGUGCACCUAUCUUGCAUCAAGAUUAGCACUAUCUCCAAACAGACUGAACCGAGCUUCCACUUGAGCCUCUUCAUCUAGGAGUACAAACAGGUGCGUCAAAAAUGGGUUCUUAGACUAUGGUGCAUUAGACACAAACUAUGCACCUAUCUUGCACCGAAACUAACAUUGUCUCCAAACAGACCGAAGCGAGAUUCCAUAUGACACACGUCAUCUAGGAGUUCCAUUAGGUGCGUACAAAUUGGUUUCUUAACAUAUGGUACGUUCCAUGCAAACUGUGCAACUAUCUUGCAUCAAGAUUAGCACUAUAUCUGAACAGACCAAAUCGAGCCUCCACUUGAGCCUGUUCAACUACGAGUACCAUCGGAUGCGUCUAAAAUGGUUUCUUAGCCUAUGGUGCAUUAGGCGUAAUGAUUUGGACAUCAACACCAGCGAUACAUCCUCUCCGACACAACCUAUAGCUGGUCCUCUUACUCGUGCUCGUGUUCGUCAACUUAAUAAUCAAGUCAGUUCCUUGAUAAGCUCAUGUCCAUCUUGUUUAGACAAUAGAAACGCGUGCACUCUUGUUUUGAUUAGGAACCAAGGAGAAGACCGAAAGGGAGAAGGACUCACACUCGCUUGAUUCGGAUAGCAGCAAAGCGCCAACUUGUGACCGUUACCAUGGUUGCAUACGGAUUCGGAUUCAGGCGCUUCAGGACUUGUUGGAAAUCUUAUCAAGUCUACUUUCAUAUGAAACAAGUCCCACGUCAAUACCUAUUCGGCAGCAGCGGCAAUGAUCCAAUUACCGUCGAUAGGUCUUGUUGUCCAGGGUGCUGCGUCACCUCAUUUUGGGCUGAUGGCCCAUGUAUCAAGUUGGGUCCAUUAGGGACGCAUCCUAGGGUUGGAGGACGACCCCAACAUCUCUUUGGUCGUCAAUCCAUUUACUUAUAUCCCUCUAGAGUCGCCAUGGUCGUUGGGUUUUGUUUAGAUCAAGUUUAGCCUUCGCUACUUGCUUGUAGGCGCGCGUGCAGGAUCAUCCGCCCGUCUCCUUGUCUUCAGAACCCCAUUGUUGAUUAAGAUUCAGUUUGAAACCUUCAAUUCAUCUUGCAAAUUCAGUGCUUGUUUCCUCGUUCUUGCUAGUUCUUCGAUUGCUUGCAGGACGGGAGCCCUAGGUGCUGGUUGUCGCGCUCUACAAGAUCGUGACGGCUAUUGGACGUGGUGUAUCGGUUGCUAAGGCGCGGUCUUGAGGGCUGUAGUCGGGCCGUGAACGUCAUCUCCAUCCACCAAUCGAGUUAUCCCCGUCUCUCAUCAAAAGAUCGGGCAAAAAAACCCUAGCUGGUUCGCAUCAGUUGGUAUCAGAGCAAGGUUCUUCGGUGAGAGACUUCUAAUCCUUUGCUGUUUUUAAUUAAUUUCCUAUAGUCCAGAAAAGCCAAAAAAAUAUAGUAGAUUAGUUUUUCCAUAAUCCUAUUAAACCUUUGUGCCUUGACUAGUACCGUUUUAGUUAGGGCUUGUUGAAUUUGUGUUGCUUCGGUUUGUGUCGAGUUGCUGGUCUUAGUGUCUAGUCCUGUAGAGUUUCGAGUUCUUGUCACCAUCUAUACACAGCCGAGUAUUACCAUAUCUUCUCUCUGUCGAACCUGUUGCGAAGUCUGAAUUGAACUGUGGUCUUGGUCCGGAUCGAGUAGAGUUCCAAUCUGAGUUUCCACCAACGUGAUAAAAAAAAGAAGGAAACUGAGUAGAACUCGGCAAUAGGUGGAAUCCGUUUUGUGGUUGGUUCUGAGUGGAAACCGAACAGAACUUGGAGUCCGCUUGUUAAUAUAGCCUGAACUCCGUCUAUGUGAGUCCUCCUGUGAUCCAAAAAGAAAGAUAACUCCAUACUUGUUCGGCCUUACUCUAGAGAGAGAGAGAGAAAAAAAAAGUGUGUGUAGCGAAUUGCUCUUUUGUAUUCUUUUGUUCAUAUAAUUAGUUUUUGAGGUAGCCCGAAAAAAAGAAAAAAAUGAAAAGAGAAAAGAUUCACAAGAGAAAAAAAAGGGGCUGUUUUUCAUAUUGAUUUUAGGUUUGUUCCACCUUGUUUUCGGGGGUGUGCUGUGGUUUUCCUUUGUGUCCAGGCUCGCGUCUCUAGCACGGUCUAGCCUAGGACCAGCACAGUACCAUCGUCGAACGCUUAUUUAGCUCGCUUUUAUAACUAACGUGGUGCUAAUUCGUUCCUUGUUUCAGCCCACCUAUAGCUCCACAUACUCUACAGCUUGACAGGU